GGAUCAAAACCAUUCAAGUGCAAGAUAUGCCACUUCGCAACGGCUCAGCUUGGCGAUGCCAGAAACCAUGUCAAAAGGCACCUUGGGAUGAGGGAAUACAAGUGUCAUGUCUGUGGGGUUGAUUUUGUAAUUGAAGCAAUAGAAAAGCUUCUUAGGUAGGG